CUGGUACGUAUGGUGGCAUACAAACUAACAGAUUGGCACAUUUUAUCAUAAACUCAUGAAGAAUGUUAUUUCACAACCGUAAAACAAACGUGAUAUUAGUUCCAAAGCAGUCUCGCGUUGCCAUACCCAGCCUGGACCUCGAAGAGGAUAAUUCCAAAGGAACCUGGGAAAGUCUUAACAGAAGUUUUUACAGAAGUUAUAACAGUUCACUCACCACCUCCAUUCUUGUAGCAGAGGGUUUCAGCGGGGCCACUGAUGACAGCUUGUGGUCUGGCAGGACCUGGAUGUUCAUAUUUUCUCCGGUGUCGGUGUGCAGCUAGCCGACGGCCUUGUGCUCUCACCUCACGGAGGAAGUAUCCGUGGCGGAGGUGAUGCUCGCGCUGCGAUGGACCGUGAUGACGAUGGGAGUCCGGCUAGCGUGGAAAGGCAAACUCUGCAUAAGUGACUAUUUUCUCAACGAACUACAGUGGACUCCACCGCCUUCAUCGGCUAGAGAGGAUCUGAGCCCUAGGACCAUGCCUCAGGACUACCUGGCCUGAUGACUCCUUGCUGUCCCCAGUCCACCUGGCCGUGCUGCUGCUCCAGUUUCAACUGUUCUGCCUGCGGCUAUGGAACCCUGACCUGUUCACCGGACGUGCUACCUGUCCCAGACCUGCUGUUUUCAACUCUCUAGAGACAGCAGGAGCGGUAGAGAUGCUCUUAAUGAUCGGCUAUGAAAAGCCAACUGACAUUUACUCCUGAGGUGCUGACUUGUUGCACCCUCGACAACUACUGUGAUUAUUAUUUGACCAUGCUGGUCAUUUUUGAGCAUUUGAACAUCUUGGCCAUGUUCUGUUAUAAUCUCCACCCGGCACAGCCAGAAGAGGACUGGCCACCCCUCAUAGCCUGGUUCCUCUCUAGGUUUCUUCCUAGAUUUUGGCCUUUCUAGGGAGUUUUUCCUAGCCCCCGUGCUUCUACACCUGCAUUGCUUGCUGUUUGGGGUUUUAGGCUGGGUUUCUGUACAGCACUUUGAGAUAUCAGCUGAUGUAAGAAGGGCUAUAUAAAUACAUUUGAUUUGGUUUGAUUGAUAAAUCAGUGUAAAGCCUAAUUUACCACUUCCCAAAAGGUCAAAAGAAAAAAUCUAUACAUUAAUAAUUCCCUAUUAAUCAAGCAAAAUAUCCUAUAAAUCAACUUAAAUUUCCUAUCAAUCAAACAAUAAUAAUUAUUGACAAGGGGACAUGGGUUUGUGUUUACAGUGUGGGCGCCUUCCUCUGUCCAGACGUUGCUGACGCAUGCCAGAUCUUAGAAUGCCGGAUAGCUAUUUUACGUAUCAGCUAACCACAUCAUAUGUUGUAGCAAUCUGGUGCCCGACGUGUAAUCAGUAAUCAGCCAGAGUGCCUGCUUGGAGAGCCGUGAGGCUUCUGGUUGGUUUGGUGAGCAGGAGGCCUUUUGUUGGUUUUAUAGUCUUUAGUUUGGGCAUGCCUGUAGUUUCCCUUUUGUACAUAUUUAUGUUUCCUCACCAUUUGAACAAAUAAUAAUCUGCUUUGACUGGCCAAUCAAGAGGUCAAGAUAGACAGAGCUGGCCCUGGACCAAGUUUAGGUUGCCAUCUCCCUGGGCACAUGUAUCUUCAACACCGAGGCGCAUACACUGAUUUCUCACAUAAAUACACACAUUCAUUCAGGUUACAGACCAUGUAACUAGGCCUAGGACCCCUACACAAAGCGAGUGCAACAAUAUGGUUUCGUAGCAAACCAAUAACUGGCCUACCUAACAAACCUUCCUCUCCCAGCUGUCUCCCACCUUCUCUGGCCACUUUCACCCCAUUAAGGAUCCUCUUUUACAACCAAAGAGCAAGCUGACCCACACUUGUACUAGAGCUCAGGAAAAGUUUAUCCCGCUUCAAACAGAUGUCUGGAAACAAAUCACACACACUCUAUCCCAGGGUUGUGAAAUUAUACAAUGAGUUGGAAAACAAACGUGCACAACCAAAUAUCGGUUGGUUGGCCAUUGAUGUUCAAAACCCUUUCCAAAAAUAUUUUUCUUUGCCCAGAACUUUGUUAUUAUUCUGGAAAAACGUCAAACAGGAUUUUGUUUUUCUUUUUUGAGAAAAUAAUAGAAUAGAGAAAAUCAACAAGAUGUCAUCUGCCAGUUUAAGCUAACUGGAGGAACUAGUAAAGUGCCAAACAAUGUGUUGUUGUGGCACUCCCUGAAACCCCCAGAGGGCUGAAUGGUAAACUGGAGGAACUGUGUCAGAGUCAGCCAUGCUACAGCCAAGGGUGACUGGGUGUCAGCUGGAAGAGCAAGAAGACCCUACAGAUACAGUCAACUCCAAAAUUAUUUGGCCAAAAAAAUACUGUCAAAAACUGUUGAGGGCCUCCCGAGUGGCGCGGUGGUCUAAGGCACUGCGUCGCAGUGCGAGCUGUGCCGCUAGAGAUUCUGGGUGCGAGUCCAGGCUCUGUCGCAGCCGGCCACGACCGGGAGACCCAUGGGGCGGCACACAAUUGCCCAGCGUCGUCCAGGUUAGGGGAGGGUUUGGCCGGCAGGGAUGUCUUUGUCCCAUCGCGCACUAGCGACCCCUGUGGCGGGCUGGGCGCAGUGCAUGCUGAAACAGUCGCCAGGUGUACGGUGUUUCCUCCGACACAUUGGUGCGGCUGGCUUCUGGGUUAAGUGGGCAUUGUGUCAAGAAGCAGUGCGGCUUGGUUGGGUUGUGUUUCAAGGAUGCACGACUCUCGACCUUCGCCUCUCCCGAGUCCGUACGUGAGUUACAGCGAUGAGAUAAGACUGUAACUACCAAUUGGAUACCGUGAAAUUGUGGAUAAAAAGGGGUAAAAAAAAAAAAACGUAACUGUUGAGCAUAAAGGACCCAGCAGUGCUGCAGUUCUUCACACAAACCAGGGACCCUGGCUCCUACUACCAUACCCUGUUCAAAGGUACACAAUGGUUUUAUCUUGUCCAUUCACCCUCUGAAUGGCACACAUACACAAUCCAUGUCUCAAUUGUCUCAAGGCUUACAUUUUUUAAAACUUCUUUAACCUGUCUCUUUCCCUUCAUCUACACUGAUUGAAGUGGAUUUAACAAGUUACAUCAAUAAGGGAUCAUAGCUUUCACCCUGGAUUCACCUGGUCUGUCAUGGAAACAUCAGCUGUUCUUAAUGUGUUAAUGUUUUGUACACUCAGUGUAUAUUUCAUGUUCCCCAAAAUAUUUUAGAGAAGUUUUUUAUUAUUUUGUUAAACAAAAUAUAUUUCCUGAGCAGUUGUAUUAGUAAAAAAGUAUAUAAUUUUAAAAUGUUUGUUGAGCAUACAAUAUAGCUCAGUAUUUGUAUCAUUUAUUUUAUACAGUCUUUUUUGCUCAUCUUUAUCAAGAGUGUCAAUCAUUUUUGAGAUGACUCUAUGUCAUACCUCUAUGUGCAAUGCCUGACUGGGGGGUGAUGGACUCUGUAGGGGGGCAUAGAUGUACAGCACCUCCUAGACUCCAUCUUAAAUAUCAACACAUGAAUCAACACGUGUAUACACUCAGAUAGACACUAGGUCACUGUCCUUCACAAUCAUGGGAGGGUCCUACUACUUACAGUGUAUAGCACCCAUCUAGAUUGAUUGAGAGACACUCGUCACAUAUGUUCUUAGAGGGAACCUCCAGGCAUGAAAAGGGUGAAACACACAUAAGUUCAUCUUUCAGUGUUUGUUGUCUGUAUUAUUAAGCCGCCAGCGUAAAGGAGAACACGCGCCCAUCUGACUCCUCCUACCUUCCUGGUGAGAUAAAUAAAAGCCAUUCAAUUGCAGCGUGGCAAUUAGCCUGUUGUUGCUGUCAGGGAUGACCUUUUCUUUAUGGCUCUGGCAAGCACUGAGGCCUCUCAUCUGUCUGACCGCUCGGUCCAGCCACAGCCCCAAUGACCAGCCACAUCUCUGCAGGAGAGGAGACCAAACCCGAUUACAAACACUGAUCACCUGCAAUCUAACCAGACAGGUUUACCCUCAGGUAGGGUUGGAAUGGAUACGGUAAUAUUGAGAGAGAUGCAGAACAGACUGAGAGAGAGAGAGAGAGAGAGAGAGAGAGUAGGAGAAAAACAACACCAGACAAGACAACAACAAUGUGAUGUAAUUGAUUUUAAUUGUGAUUAAAAUUAAAUGGGCUCUGUAGAUUUGAAAAGGUUAAAUUCAAUUGAAGGUGGCAAUCACAGUCUGUCUAACAGCAGGCUUUUAAUGAAGCACCCUGGUCCCCGUCAUUUAUCUGGAGGUGUGUGUGUGUGUGUGUGUGUGUGUGUGUGUGUGUGUGUGUGUGUGUGUGUGUGUGUGUGUGUGUGUGUGUGUGUGUGUGUGUGUGUGUGUGUGUGUGUGUGUGUGUGUGUGUGUGUGUGUGUGAGAGAGAGAGAUAGAGAUAGAGAAA